rnacentral:rRNA from 1 species
AUUGAACGCUGGCGGCAGGCCUAACACAUGCAAGUCGAGCGGAUGAAGGGAGCUUGCUCCUGGAUUCAGCGGCGGACGGGUGAGUAAUGCCUAGGAAUCUGCCUGGUAGUGGGGGAUAACGUCCGGAAACGGGCGCUAAUACCGCAUACGUCCUGAGGGAGAAAGUGGGGGAUCUUCGGACCUCACGCUAUCAGAUGAGCCUAGGUCGGAUUAGCUAGUUGGUGGGGUAAAGGCCUACCAAGGCGACGAUCCGUAACUGGCCUGAGAGGAUGAUCAGUCACACUGGAACUGAGACACGGUCCAGACUCCUACGGGAGGCAGCAGUGGGGAAUAUUGGACAAUGGGCGAAAGCCUGAUGCAGCAAUGCCGCGUGUGUGAAGAAGGUCUUCGGAUUGUAAAGCACUUUAAGUUGGGAGGAAGGGCAGUAAGUUAAUACCUUGCUGUUUUGACGUUACCAACAGAAUAAGCACCGGCUAACUACGUG